UAGAAGCACCUAAUGAGGAAUUAAGAGUGGGAUGUGUGCUGGAAAGGGUUCACACCUAUAAUCCCAGCACUUUGGGAGGCUGAGGUAGGAAGAUCACUGGAACCCAGGAGUUCAAGACCAUCCUGGGUAAGAUAACAGCACCUCAGAGAAGAUUUGGAAAAUAAAUGAGCUGAUGAGAGCAAUUUUCUGCUUCCUGGGCCACCACAGUCUUCUUUGCUGUUUUUGAUUGAAACCAUUUUCAGAGAAGAAUCAACACCAAAGCCCCACUACCUGAAACAGAGCUGGCAUGUGGCAUAUCCUCAGAAACAUUUGCUAAAUGACACCUAGUCUACAGGAGGAGGACUCAUUCUUGACCAUUAGAUUUAGCCAUGCAGAAGUCAGAUCGAGAGUAAACAGAGCAAGAACAGUUUUGGUGCUGUGAUGGGUCAAAAGCCUGAGUCAGAUUACAUGUAUAUAAAUUACCUAGUAAUGAGCAUGACCUCUGUCCAAGCAGAAGGCAAGCAGGGGAGAAGCUUUAGCUGCCCAACUACAGUUAUUCUCUCAACCCAAGCUAAGGUAGUUGGUGCCAUACAUUUCCCACAGGACUACUAUUUUCCAAUAUCAACAUCUUUAAUUUAUUUAUUUAUUUUUGUUUUAGUGCACUAGCUGGAACUUUCAAUAUAAUGUUAAAUACAAAGGAUGAGAGUAAAUAUUCUUACAUCUUUCCUGGUCUUAUGAAGAAAGAAUUUUCUUUCACCAUUAAGUAUUAUGUUGUCUGUAGGUUUUUC